ACGAACGCUGGCGGCGUGCUUAACGCCUGCAAGUCGAACGGAAAGGCCCUGCUUUUGUGGGGUGCUCGAGUGGCGAACGGGUGAGUAACACGUGAGUAACCUGCCCUUGACUUUGGGAUAACUUCAGGAAACUGGGGCUAAUACCGGAUAGGAGCUCCUGCUGCAUGGUGGGGGUUGGAAAGUUUCGGCGGUUGGGGAUGGACUCGCGGCUUAUCAGCUUGUUGGUGGGGUAGUGGCUUACCAAGGCUUUGACGGGUAGCCGGCCUGAGAGGGUGACCGGCCACAUUGGGACUGAGAUACGGCCCAGACUCCUACGGGAGGCAGCAGUGGGGAAUAUUGCACAAUGGGCGGAAGCCUGAUGCAGCAACGCCGCGUGCGGGAUGACGGCCUUCGGGUUGUAAACCGCUUUCGCCUGUGACGAAGCGUGAGUGACGGUAAUGGGUAAAGAAGCACCGGCUAACUACGUG
rnacentral:rRNA from 1 species